rnacentral:rRNA from 1 species
UACGGAGGGUGCAAGCGUUAUCCGGAUUUACUGGGUUUAAAGGGUGUGUAGGCGGGCUUUUAAAUCAGUGGUGAAAUCUCCGGGCUCAACCCGGAAACUGCCAUUGAUACUAUUAGUCUUGAAUUUUGUUGAGGUAGGCGGAAUAAGUCAUGUAGCGGUGAAAUGCUUAGAUAUGACGUAGAACACCAAUUGCGAAGGCAGCUUGCUAAACAAACAUUGACGCUGAGGCACGAAAGCGUGGGGAGCAAACAGG